rnacentral:tRNA from 1 species
AGCGGGGUGGGGCAGCCAGGAGUGCCCGUCGGGCUCAUAACCCGAAGGUCAAAGGUUCAAAUCCUUUCCCCGCUA